UGGUUUGAUUCUGGCUCAGGAUGAACGCUGGCGGCAUGCCUAAUACAUGCAAGUCGAACGGAGUGAAGCCUUCGGGUUUCAUUCAGUGGCGAACGGGUGAGUAAUACGCAGGGAACCUGGCCAUGGCAGGGGGAUACACUCUGGAAACGGAGCAUAAGACCCCAUAGGCAGUAAGGCGGCAUCGCCUUACUGUUAAAGAAAGCUGAAAGGCUUUGGCGAUGGAUGGACCUGCGGUGCAUUAGCUUGUUGGUGAGGCAACGGCUUACCAAGGCGAUGAUGCAUAGCCGGCCUGAGAGGGCGGACGGCCACACUGGGACUGAGACACGGCCCAGACUCCUGCGGGAGGCAGCAGUAGGGAAUUUUCGUCAAUGGGCGCAAGCCUGAACGAGCAAUGCCGCGUGAGUGAGGAAGGUCUUCGGACUGUAAAGCUCUGUUGCCGGGGAAAAAGGGGAAAUGCAGGAAAUGGCAUUUCAUGGAUGGUACCCGGCCAGAAAGCCACGGCUAACUACGUGCCAGCAGCCGCGGUAAUACGUAGGUGGCGAGCGUUAUCCGGAAUGAUUGGGCGUAAAGGGUGCGCAGGCGGUCUGUUAAGUCUGAAGGCAAAGGGAUGAGCUCAACUCAUUUAUGAUUCAGAAACUGGCAGACUUGAGGACAGGAGAGGGCGGUGGAACUCCAUGUGUAGCGGUAAAAUGCGCAGAGAUAUGGAAGAACACCAGUGGCGAAGGCGGCCGCCUGGCCUGUGACUGACGCUGAGGCACGAAAGCGUGGGGAGCAAAUAGGAUUAGAUACCCUAGUAGUCCACGCCGUAAACGAUGAGGAGCAGGUGUUGGGAGUGAAAUCUCAGUGCCGAAGCCAACGCAGUGACUCCUCCGCCUGGGGAGUAUGCACGCAAGUGUGAAACUCAAAGGAAUUGACGGGGGCCCGCACAAGCGGUGGAGUAUGUGGUUUAAUUCGAAGCAACGCGAAGAACCUUACCAGGUUUUGACAUCGGAUGCGAAGGCGCAGAGAUGCGCUGGAGGCUAUCAUCCAGACAGGUGGUGCAUGGUUGUCGUCAGCUCGUGUCGUGAGAUGUUCAGUUAAGUCUGGCAACGAGCGCAACCCCCGUGGUAUGUUACUAACGCAUUUGGGCGAGGACUCAUAUCAGACUGCCGGUGACAAACCGGAGGAAGGCGGGGAUGACGUCAAAUCAUCAUGCCCCUUAUGACCUGGGCUACACACGUACUACAAUGGCGUCUACAGAGGGAAGCGACCCUGAGAAGGGAAGCGAAACCGGAAAAGGGCGUCCCAGUUCGGAUUGAAGUCUGCAACCCGACUUCAUGAAGAUGGAAUCGCUAGUAAUCGCGGAUCAGCAUGCCGCGGUGAAUACGUUCCCGGGCCUUGUACACACCGCCCGUCAAACCAUGGAAGCCGGCAACGCCCGAAGCCGGUGGCAUAACCUUUUAGGAGUGAGCCGUCGAAGGCGGGGCCGAUGACUGGGGUUAAGUCGUAAAAAGGUAACC
rnacentral:rRNA from 1 species